GACGGCGGCCGCCUACUCCAAUCUUGCUGCGCGGUGCUCUUCACCGAGUGCCGUCGGCGGGCCGACACGUUUACUUUGAACAAAUUAGAGUGCUCAAAGCAGGCUCGAAUCUGGCGGGGCGGCUUCACGGCCGUCUCGUCAAAAGGCCCUGAAUACUGGUCGCAUGGAAUAAUGGAACAAGACCUCGGUCCCGCGCAUCUCCGCCCUUCGCGGGCGCGCGAAAUCGCCCUCCGGGGCGUUUCCGUGCGCGGGCCGCCGGGCCGCGGGCGCCAGUCGCCCGCGCGUCCCGCCGGGCCGGUUUUCGGGACCGGAGGUAAUGAUCAACAGAGACGGGCGGGGGCAUUCGUACCGAGACGUUAGAGGUGAAAUUCUUGGAUCGUCUCGAGACGAACUGACGCGAAAGCAUUUGCCAAGUACGUUCUCGUAUGAUCAAGAACGAAAGUUAGAGGUUCGAAGGCGAUCAGAUACCGCCCUAGUUCUAACUGUAAACGAUGCCAGCUAGCGAUCCGCCGGCGUUUCAUUAACGACCCGGCGGGCAGCUUCCGGGAAACCGAAGCUUUUCGGUUCCGGGGGAAGUAUGAUUGCAAAGUUGAAACUUAAAGGAAUUGACGGAAGGGCAC
rnacentral:ncRNA from 1 species